UGAGGAAUAUUGGACAAUGGGCGCAAGCCUGAUCCAGCCAUGCCGCGUGCAGGAAGAAGCAUCUAUGGUGUGUAAACUGCUUUUGUACGGGAAGAAACACUCCUACGUGUAGGAGCUUGACGGUACCGUAAGAAUAAUGAUCGGCUAACUCCGUGCCAGCAGCCGCGGUAAUACGGAGGAUCCAAGCGUUAUCCGGAAUCAUUGGGUUUAAAGGGUCCGUAGGCGGUUUAAUAAGUCAGUGGUGAAAGCCCAUCGCUCAACGAUGGAACGGCCAUUGAUAAUGUGAGAAUUGAAGUACAAGGAAGGAACUAGAAUAUGUAGGGUAGCGGUGAAAUGCUUAGAUAUUACAUGGAAGAACAAUUGCGAAGGCAGGUUACUAAGUGUGGAAUGACGCUGAUGGACGAAAGCGUGGGGAGCGAACA
rnacentral:rRNA from 1 species